AAGGGCAGAGGGAGGAGGCAGAGCAGGAAGUAGCAGCUAGUCAUCCAUCAAAUUCAUCCACAAUUAAAACUUCUGAGCCAAUAAGCUUCCAAGAUAAUCUUUUCAGUCAUAUAACAGCUUCCAUAGAUGGAAUGAAACCACAAGAAUGGGGCACAGCUUGGAGAGAUUUAUCAGGGAUGCCAGGAGCAGUAGACCCAGCACAGGAGCAGCUUGCAGAUGACAGCUAAAUGAAGGAUCUCCACUCUCCAGUGCUGCAAGGAACUGUGAGAAACAGGGGAAGAAAAAAAGCAACAAAAUUGUCAAGUAGAUGAAUACAGCCUCUUAAUAUCAGCAGUAAUGGAGAAACUGUUUGCCAUCAUGCAAAUUUGUGCUUAGUGAGCAAAAAAUACUCUCAGAGGUUUUCC